rnacentral:sRNA from 1 species
CUUUCCCUUUGUCCGAUUCGUACACUUGCCUGGCUAGCGAAGAUGUCGGGAUCCAGGCCUCUAUGCUGAGUUUACUACUGAUAUCGCCUCUUCAUUUGCCUCAGACUUUCAACGAAACACGCUACCGACCUCGGAAAAUCAAAAAGACGCAGCAGAUCUUCAGUCUACAAAAUGAUCUACAAACUGAUAGAGUACAUUGUCAUUGACUCUCACCCGCAUAGCACCGGAGAUAAGCACCGGCCCUUCAUGGCCGUGCCAUUAAACAUUAGGACUUUGCAAUUGAAUGUCACAAUUCAAAAACAGUUGCAAUGGUUAUUUUAAAUUUUAAUUAGAAAACAAAGAUAUUGCUUUGUUUUUUAAUUACUAGUACAUAUUUGUAUAUGAGGUUACACGAAGCCGCAAAUUUGUCUAUGAUCGUUAAGAUCGCAUUUGUGACCUCAAACAGUCAGUCUUGAAAUAAAGAAAAGACAGAU